AUUGAACGCUGGCGGCAGGCCUAACACAUGCAAGUCGAGCGGUAGAGAGGUGCUUGCAUCUCUUGAGAGCGGCGGACGGGUGAGUAAUGCCUAGGAAUCUGCCUAGUGGUGGGGGAUAACGUUCGGAAACGGACGCUAAUACCGCAUACGUCCUACGGGAGAAAGCGGGGGAUCUUCGGACCUCGCGCCAUUAGAUGAGCCUAGGUCGGAUUAGCUAGUUGGUGAGGUAAUGGCUCACCAAGGCGACGAUCCGUAACUGGUCUGAGAGGAUGAUCAGUCACACUGGAACUGAGACACGGUCCAGACUCCUACGGGAGGCAGCAGUGGGGAAUAUUGGACAAUGGGCGAAAGCCUAGAUCCAGCCAUGCCGCGUGUGUGAAGAAGGUCUUCGGAUUGU
rnacentral:rRNA from 1 species